AUUCAGUGUUCUCAAAUGAAAAAACUGACAAAAGAAACAGGCUUUCUAAUGAAACCCUGAACGGCUUGCUUCAUAGAAAGUUCCCAACUUUGCCAGCAAACAAUUGCUCAAUUUUAGAACCGAACAGUGUUAGGUUGCGUGCAGCAAAAGAAUAUAAAAGCAAUGCGUCGACUUCCUUGAAAAUUCUAAUCCUAUAGAUCUAUGAUCUUCUGGGGGCGUUUAUAUUAUAUAUACCUUCAUUAAAUAAUAUGCUGUGGUUUAUUUUCUGUAUUUUAUUUAUGCUUUCUAUAUAAAGGAUUUAUGAAAGUUGUCUAGGAAAUUUUAGGGAUAAAUUCAAAAGAAACUAGGGUAAAAUGUGUUAAAAAAAACUUAAGUGGAAACACUGCUUUGAAGUUUUCAAAAUUCCAGGGCCGUAAAACAAUCUCAAAAAAAAAAAAAAAAGUUUUCAAAAUGUCGUAACGAUUUAAUUUUUUAAAUCGUUUUUUUUUGGUCUUGGUAAAGUUUAUUAUUAAAAAUCAGCAUGCCUCGAAGAUCGAAAAUGAAAUGCUAUUUCGGAUGCCUUGAUAACGACAAAGGUUUGAUAAUGACAAAAUUUUAUGGAAAAAUUAUAAGGAGCACUAAAAUGUCUGAAACAUGAAAAGAUUGAUGCACUAUAUUUGAACCAGAACGUGUUAUGUAAUAUAUUAAUUUGUAAGUAUGAUUACAUUAACACUAAAUUUAUGUUAUGAACAUGAUUGUGGGUUAAUCGUUUCUUAAAUUUCUAAAUGUUUAUAAGAAUGCUAAGAAUAAUUUAGUAUUCACUUUAGUGUGUGUAUUAUCUCUACAAUGCUAGUUUAAAUGACAAUUAUUGUAUGACGAAGCAUAGGUAGUGUUUAUAGAUGUAAUAUUUUCAUACAAGGUCAUGAUCUGUCACGAUCAACUUUAAGCAAGAACUGCUAUCAUUAAGAAACAAAUUUAUUAAAUUUAAUUCAAAUUGUCUACUAUGUUUAUAAUGGAAAGCUGACAUGUUUAUAUUUCGCACAAAUGACUUAAUUGACAUUGAAUGAUUUGAUUAUCUAGACUUAAUUAACUUUUAGAUAACCUUCGAUUUAAUGUUAAUAAGUACGCUAGUAGGAUUAAUCUAGAGGAGUUAUUGUUAUUCGAAGUUUUAUACAAUUGUACGUUCAUACUAUCUUUUAACCGAAAAUUGUUUGUAAUAUAGGGAAAUUAAAUAGCUUACAGAGAAUUACAGCUUUUUAUUUUAAAAAACUGUUUUCUCUCUGUAUGAAAAGAUCUUAUCGAUUAGAAUGCUGAACACAAUCAAACAUUCCUUAAUAUCUCAUAAGUACUACCGGGAAUUCCAGCGAUUCUAAACGAUAAGAUUUUUUCAUAAAGAGAGUUAUUAAAAAUAUUAAAAUUACUAAAAAA